AGUGAUGGAUAAAGCAGUAAAAGUGGGAACACUGGAGCACGCACAAAGUCUGUCUUGCAAGGAGAAAGAAGGCUGUUGAAAUCCACCACGGUUGAUCCAGCUGCAAAUGCAGCCUAGAAGAGGAAGCAUGUUGCGAAAACUUCUAUUUUUCCUAGGCAGUGAACCCAAACUGUUAUUUGUUACCCAUUUUCAGUUCAGUCGUCUAAACGGUCUCUCUUUCAACACAUCUGAGGAUCUUGUUCUGUUGAGUUUGUAAUUUUUCUGGAUAUUACCAAACAAGUCCC
rnacentral:lncRNA from 1 species